AGCCGGCCAGCUCCCAGCUAUUUCUGCAUCCUCCUUUGCAGCUCACCUACACCAACACGCAGAACCUGACGGCUGCCAGUUCCAGCAAGGCCAGCUCCAGAGGCCAGAUCUCGCAGUCUAAAAUUGCCCUGCUCUAAAUAGAGGAGCCGGGCGAGAGAAGCACUAAGCCUGCGGCUUUCCCGGGGAGGAACCACAGUACAGGCGCUACGUGACUUGCCCCGGACACCCAAGAAGCUCCUGUCAGCGCGGAGCUCUCACAUCCCGAGCCUGACCUCGUAUCGUGCACUCGUCCCGUGCAUGCGAGCGCCCUAGAACGCGCUGCUUGUUUUUAUACCGUCUGUUCCAGAGAAAUCCAGCUGGUAGAGGAGCGCAGCGCCGUGAUUUAUUUGAGAACUCCCUCGUACUCGCCUGAAGGCUCGCCGCCGGGGGAGGAAGGAGAGCGCGGGAGGCUGCUCCGCGCCCGGCCCGGCACCCAGGUAGAGGGCGAGGAGGGGAGCGGGGAUUUCCUUGGCUUCCUCCCAUGCUCGUACCUCCCGGGGAGCAGCAGCGGCAGCGGCAGCCCGACUCCCCUCGGCGGCCGCUGGGAGGCUCCGCACCUCGCCCCGGCCUCGCGGGCGCCGCGUCCCCGGCCGCGCUGUGUGUCGGUGACACCCGCCUCCCGCCCCCGCUCCGCUCCGCUCCGCGCUGCUCCGCGCCGCACGGAGGGGCCGCGGGCAGCUCCGGCACCGGCAGCGCCGACAGCGCACCGCAAACACCCGCCCGCCGGCGCGGGCAUGGAAUAUACAAAAACACAAAGGAAAAGUGGCAGCUGGACUGUUCUGGGGGCAAAAUGCUGGAAGUUUCUUGCUGCUUAAUACUAAGCGGGGAGAUGAGCACUGAAAGCAAUACGGAUUUAUCCAGUGGCUGAAUUAAGUGAAGGCGAAUCGUGGUUUGGAAGUCCACUGACUGACAUUGUUCCGGACCGGGGGAUCCGUCUCUGAUUUUUAGAGGAACUACAGUUUAGCGGCAGCCAGCCGGACACAGUCACCACGCCGCAGAGUGGCCAGCAACGAGCGGGCGAGAAAAGCGAGAAAGCACAAAGACUGAACUAACCCGACCCUCCUCCUCUUUCUCCUCCUUCCCCGGCUCUUUAUUUGCACAUUUACUAAAGACUUAAAAGAAAAAAAAAAAAAAGAAAAAAAAAAGAGAGAGAGAGAGAGAGAGAGAGAGAGAGAGAGAAACACUCCAACAAACCCACUCCAGCUAACCUACGAGAUUUUCGGUCCGCCGGGGGUUUCUCCGCGCCGCCGACCACGGCAAUGCCUUAAAUUUGCACUUCAAGGAAUAACACCACCCGCUCCCCCGAAAUAAAAUAAACCCAAUAAACCUGCCAAGUCUCACUCAUUCCCGACGGAGAGCUCCUUCGUCCAGGGAUUCAUUUUGAAGGCA